AACGAACGCUGGCGGCAGGCUUAACACAUGCAAGUCGAGCGCCCCGCAAGGGGAGCGGCAGACGGGUGAGUAACGCGUGGGAAUCUACCGAGCCCUGCGGAAUAGCUCCGGGAAACUGGAAUUAAUACCGCAUACGCCCUACGGGGGAAAGAUUUAUCGGGGUUUGAUGAGCCCGCGUUGGAUUAGCUAGUUGGUGGGGUAAAGGCCUACCAAGGCGACGAUCCAUAGCUGGUCUGAGAGGAUGAUCAGCCACAUUGGGACUGAGACACGGCCCAAACUCCUACGGGAGGCAGCAGUGGGGAAUAUUGGACAAUGGGCGCAAGCCUGAUCCAGCCAUGCCGCGUGAGUGAUGAAGGCCCUAGGGUUGUAAAGCUCUUUCAACGGUGAAGAUAAUGACGGUAACCGUAGAAGAAGCCCCGGCUAACUUCGUGCCAGCAGCCGCCGUAACAC
rnacentral:rRNA from 1 species